rnacentral:misc_RNA from 1 species
ACUUCUUCUGGUGUGCAUGCAUAAUCAACCCUUCACCACAUCUGCUUAAUGACCACAUUUUCCGGAAGCACCAACCACCAACAGCAGUGACGAGGCUCUGCAGUCUGCAACUCAGAUUGCAUAUCCUGAUUUGCCUGAUGCCUCUGCCCUUCAAAAUGAAUGACUUCUAUUCUCACACAUCAUGGUUGAAGCAUCUCAAUUACAUACUACCAUCGAUUCCAGUAACCUCCAAUAAGCCUUUUGCUUGCUUCUUUCACGCAAUUUCUUUUGAAAUAAAUUUACAUCAUUCUUCAUAUUGGAACUCACUCUCUCUCUCUCUUAUCUUUCCUUUUUUUUUU